UGCAGAGCUGUCGCCUUGUUCCCUAGGCGGAGGAAGAAAAACACUUAACAUCGAGCUACUCUCACGACACAGCUUGUUGAACAAAAUGGAGCAAAGUUUUAAAGAACCGACCAGAAUAUUCAGACAGGUGACGGAACCCCAGAAACUUAACCAAAGUCUUGAGCAAGAGAAGUGAGGCCACCGCUUCAUAAGGAUAUCUACGGAAUCUGUAACCUACAGAUGUUUACAGGCCAUGGGGGGCUUUGUGUGCAGAUCCCGGAAGAAUCGAGUAGAGCACAUUGGUGGAUAACAAAAGCCUGAAACAACAAUGCCUGGGAACAGACAGAAAUUCAAGAAUUCUUGCAAGGUGGGUCAUGGACACAGCCCCACACAGGGCAGUGGAGAGUCUAUGAGUGCAGA